rnacentral:rRNA from 1 species
UACAGAGGUCCCGAGCGUUGUUCGGAUUCACUGGGCGUAAAGGGCGCGUAGGUGGCCUUAUAAGUCAGUGGUGAAAUCCCGCAGCUUAACUGUGGAAUUGCCAUUGAUACUGUAGGGCUUGAGUACAGAUGCCGUUGGCGGAAUAUGACAUGUAGUGGUGAAAUACAUAGAGAUGUCAUAGAACACCGAUUGCGAAGGCAGCUGACGAAACUGUAACUGACACUGAGGCUCGAAAGUGUGGGGAUCAAACAGG